rnacentral:lncRNA from 1 species
CUUAAUUUACUCUUUUAUUGUCAUCCUCUGAUGGAGUAAGAGUCACCUUUGUGCUGCAAAUGAGAAGAGGCUGAGGGAGGCAAGAUACAGCAAGAAAGCAGCAUCUGCAAGAAAGCCCUCACCAGGACCAAAUCAGCUGACACCUCAACCUUGGACUACCCAGCUUCCCGAACUGUGAGGUAUAGAUUUUUAUUGUUGAAGUCACCAAGGCUACGGUGUUUUUAAUAGCAGCCCAAGUCCAGGAAUACAUCAUCUGACUCACUGUUUUGAAUCAAACUCUUCAGUUUCUCCAUCAACUUAGCUGGCAGCUCCUGUCCCCAGCAGCAUCAGAGGCCCCAUGAAAAGAGCUCCAGCAGGGGCUCAGCCUGCACGGGUCCCAUGGGGCAGCCUCAGUGUCAGGGCCUGGAUGGCAGGUGAGACUCCAGUGACACAACCACAAUGUGAAAGUGUAAGAGUUUUUAACUACUUACAGAUACUGGAAAGCACAGGGCACACCUGGAGACCACAGACACUGGGGUCAGAGAGCCCAGGCAGGGAGGAGAGAAGGGAACUGUAGGCCAAUGGCUUUAUUGGGUCCAGGGUGUUGUUGACAGGUUUCCAGAAGGGAGCUUUAAUGGGUGUGUUUAAAGCAGGCAAACACUGGGGCAAGAAGAUCACACUGUGACUGAGAGGUGGUCACUUUAAA